GCCACCGUAGCUCAGCUGGUAGAGCAACUGAUUUGUAAUCAGUGGGUCGGGGGUUCGAAUCCCUUCGGUGGCUCCA
rnacentral:tRNA from 1 species